AUACCACUUCUAGCGCGGGGAGAUGCAGAUCAGCCAGCGCUCGCGCACUAUGUUUUCAUUAUGGGCUAAUAUUUCCAAUGUACUAGACGCGAUGAAUGCGACAGCAUGGCGCUCCAAACUCAGGCUGUGAGUGCCUCGCUGGACCACGACGCCACUGCCUGUGACAGGAACCUGCUGCCAACAUCGUGUCGUCGUGCAAGCCUGGUGUGACAAAAUCGCUUUACUUACAAGUGUAGUUCUUUAUAUGAAGAAAGACAGCGAGAGUCUUCGCUUGAACCUGGCCAGGAACUCAGAGCUAUUUCCCAAAUACGCGCUGCAACAAGGUGACGGAAACGAAUGGCCUCCGCCUUUGGAGCCUUCACCGACGUCCUUUUGGUCACACGUCGCAAGUCAACCUGUCCUCUCCACCGGCGUCGCCUCGCUACGGUGAACAACAGCCCAGCAACAAAGUGGCCCCGGUUCCUGUGCGUGAACCAUCGCGGGAAGAAAAUACACGUCCGAGGCCUAUAGCCAAUUCAGUUCCGGCCCAAGAAGAUGGCUAAGCCGUCCCCGGGGGCAACUACUUCCAGAACGCUGAACAGGAUUUCGCGGUGGCUAUAGGAUCCACCCCACGGCACGAAAUCAGCAAUGUUCUCUAAAACUUCGUAGCCAUGUAUGACAGAGUGAGGAUAUCAGGACGGCGUCACAAGUGUAAUACACCUUACUGUAAAAAUAAAAAAGUAAUGAGCAGAGUGGUUCUUCUAUCUACAUGUUUCUUCUCCUGUCUUGCCCCACACAGGCCGGAACGAAGAAUGAGGAAAUAGAGGCAAAUGGGCCGUCCAUACGCGACCGCAUGGUCACUCAUAAAAAAAAUUACACAGUAUUAUAAACUAUCCAGCCUUUACUACGCCACUGAGCACAAUUCGCUAACCAAACAGCAGGAACUCCUUUGGAGGAAAGUCUAGACGGACUCCUCCCCACAACAUUUAGUUCUGUAUUUCUACAUUAAUCUAACCAAAUUUAUU